GACGAACGCUGGCGGCGUGCUUAACACAUGCAAGUCGAACGAGACCUUCGGGUUUUGUGGCGCACGGGUGGGUAAGGCGUGGGGACCUGCCCUUGGGUUCGGAAUACCUUCCCGAAAGGGGUGCUCAUACCGGAUGGUGUCUUAGGAGAAAAGAUUUAUUGCCUUUGGAUGGGCCCGCGGUGGAUUAGUUAGUUGGUAGGGUAAAAGCCUAGCAAGGGGACGUUCCAUAGCUGGUCUGGGAGGAGGAUCAGCAACGCUUGUACUGAGGCACGGCCCAGACUCCGACGGAGGACAGCAGUGGGGAGUAUUAUGCAAGGAGCGAAAGCCUGAUACAGCAGCGCCGCGGGAGUGAGGAAGUGCUUAGGGUUGUAAAGCUCUUUUACCCGAGAUGAUAAUGACGGUACCGGGAGAAUAAGCACCGGCUAACUCCGUG
rnacentral:rRNA from 1 species